rnacentral:tRNA from 1 species
GGAAAUGUAGCUCAGUGGUAGAGAGCUUGCUAUCAUGUGCAAAGCUCUGGGUUCAAGCCCCAGUACUACCC